rnacentral:lncRNA from 1 species
CGGGGACUCGGUGCGGAGCCGGGGCGCCGAGUGUCUCCGUGUCCCUCUGCCCCAGCCGGCGGCCGCGAUGGUGGAGCUUGGCCUCUCGCUCUCUCCCGCCUCUCCAGCGACUGCUCUGCCGGCCGCGGAGGUCGGAUCGAGCGGUCAUUCAUUCAUUUGUUAAUUCGUUCACUUAUUCAGGGGAGAUCAUUGAACCCCUACGGAGUACCGGGUACUGGGCCGGGCGCUGAGGACGCGGGGCUGAGCAAAAGCAGCCGAGGCCCACCUUCGUGCCCCUUAAAACCCAGCGUGCGGGGCGGCAACGAGUACUGCUUUUCUGUUUUGCACUUAAAAUUUACAUUUUGCAUCCGUACUUUUUAUUUACUGUGCACCCUUACGGCAUGCUUUACGCACCCGUACCUGCACCUCCUAGCCUUGAGUGUAGACACCAGAUCCUGAGAUGGGCGAUUUUUCGAGAAUAAUUUUUACCCUAAGUGGAUUUUCGUGCCACGCAUGGACUUGGAACUACACACACGUAGUCCAAAACGUGAAAGUCAAAAUGCAGCUUUGCCAAGUGGCAGGGAGAAAGGAGAGCUGAGAAGAUGAGGAGAGGAAGGGCGCGCUCCAGGCUUUCCAGCCCGGGUGCGGUAGACGUAGCCCUGAAGGAUGAACCCAGGCUGGUAGUAGGGCGGCGGGAGGGCGGGGGGACCUGUCAGUCAAGUCCAAAGCAGAAACGCGGCGCCGGAUCCCAGUCAGAGGCCGGCUGGAACGCUUCCCACAGGCUCCUGGCGCUCCGGUCCCCACCAGGCGACCUUGAUCCUGGCGUGCUCAGCGGAGCCAGCGCAGCGUCGGGAGCUGGAGAGACGCGGGGCGCCGGCUGAGCGCUCCUGCCCUCUGCCUCUGGGCUAGCCUCUGGCCCGGCCUCCCGGCCUCCCCCAGGGUACGCUCUCCCCCAAGAGCGAACACCAGCUUUGGGAUCGCCAGCAGCCACGUCUCUGCUUCUAGAUCUCUUUUUUUUUUCUUUGAGACUUAGUUGAUAGCUGUUUAAGGAAUUAUGUGGAGGAAAUCUCACCUCCGACCCCCGCCCCCGUUGAGCACGGCCGGCCAGGGUCGCUGGGUGGGCCAGGAGGAAAGAAAGGGGCGGGGAAGAAGCAGCAAUUUUACUUUAAAUUAAAAUGACACAAAAAUAUUUUUUCAACUCAGAUCUUUCUGAGACAUCCCCAGAAAGCGUUGCAAGCUGUGAUUACACCUAAUGUGAGAGCAUGAACUAAUUUAAGAGGUGAGAGCUGCAUAAUGAGGCUGCCUCCCGUGUAGCAGCCAAGACUGGCAGCUCUGGCGGCGCGCUGGAGGGGACCGGGAGGGGCACCCUUGUAGAACCAGUCCCUGGCGCCCUGGGAUCUUCUCAGUGCCCUGGCGCUGUGUUGUCGGUCACUCCACAGAUAUUACAGGGUGCCUCCUGAAUGCCGGGUUGCAAUCAAGAGCAAGAGAUGGGGCGAGUGAAAGAGCCUGUUUUCAGGAGCUCAGCAUCAGGAUGACGAUUACCUAGAGGGAGGUGGUGGCCAGCCUCCCCCUCUUCUCUUCAUGCUGAGGCUCUGGUGGGCAGUGCCCAAGCCUGAACUGCCAUCUGUAUGCCAGUGGUUACCCAACUUGUAUUUUCAGUCUUAGCCUCUCUCUGGUCCAGACUUGUCAUUCUAAGGGCCCUUUUUCACUGACUCACAUUGUCUCCUCCCUCCCUGCCUUCCAAACUCAGCCUUUUCCUUUUUCCCUUUCCCACUGACAACAGCUGCACGACCCCCCCGCCCCCCCACGAGGUGAAAAUUCCCAAGAACCCCAUGUCUAACCUAACUCCCUCUCUAUGUCCUGUUGCUUGAGCCAUUCUCAUUAGGCUGCCUGUUCGGAGUUCAUUAUCUCCUAAUUUUUCAUCCAGGAAUUGAUGAAGAAUCACCUACUGCCUCUCCCACACACUGUUUAUUCUUUCAUUUGAUGAUAUCUGUUAAGUGCCCUGAGAUAUGUAACCUCCACUUCCCUCCCAUAUAAGUGAGAUUUCACGUUGAUUACUUCCUUGGCUUUCCUCAUCCCUUAUCCACAUAGCAUGUGUUCAAAAUAAUGAAUAUUAAUUUAAUGUUAAUAGAUAUGUGCUUUCCUGAAUUGUGAGGAUUAAAUGAAAUCAUGUAUAUAGGGAGGAAAAUCCAUUAGAAACCUCAAAAGCAGUUAUGUUUAUUUUUGCUAUUGUCACAUUGUUAGAGUCAGAAUUCUUUUAGCUGCAAGUGACAAAACCAACUCAAACUGGCUUAAGGACUUUAUUGGUUGAUGCAAAAAGCCUCGGGUUAGGUCUUGCCAUUUAAGGUAGGGCUGGAUCCAUCAAUCCGGGUUACCAGGAUCUGUUUUCUAGUUGUGGCUUCAUUUUCAGACAAGUUGUUUCCAUAUGAUAGCCUCAUAGAAGGUACUACCAGCUUAGUCCUAGCAAGAAAAAAGAGUACUUACUCUUCAAUAUUUGCAGCAGAAGUCCCAGGUCUGUUCUUAUGAGGGCAGUUUGAGUCACUUGCUCUUCUCUGAACGUGGAGAAGGCACUGUUUAGAUGAUGGAGGUUGGAUUCAGGUGCAUCCCCUGGAAUGGGGUUUGGCAUUAGCUUCACGUGGUCUAGAAUAAAGGGGUUCUCCAAAGGAAAAUUAGGGUAGGAAUGCUGAGUAAGCAGAACAAACAGAUGUCUACUUUAGUCCUUCCCAAAGGGUGAGCUGCAAUACAUUGCAGACUAUCAGAAUGGUGAUGAACACGGAUGCAGUAGCCAAGAAAAUAGAUGUGUGUUUGUCGUGGUCUUUUUCAGUCUUCAAGAUCUCAGUUAAACAUGAAGUCAACCACUCACUAUGAUGUUAUUUGAGGUUUAGCUUUGAAGUGGAAAUGUACCACAAAUAGUAGAGCCAGAUAAAUACAAAUAAAUAAUUUUAACAGUCCAUUCUAAAAGAUUUCUUUGGUAAUAUUCUGUUGGAAUUGAUUUCUAUCUUUUCAUUUGUUAGGUUCCUGGAAAGUGAAAAUUUCAUUUCUUUGUGGACAGGUACCUAAAAUGUCUCAUUAUUCAUCAAUUAAUGAAAAACAAAUGAAAAUUUGAGAGAGAUAUUCUGAAGAAUAAAAGGAUCAAGUUGGGUCAUUUCUAAAAUGUAAGAUUAUAAGGUUUAACUUGCUAAGACUUUUGAGGGGUUGAAUUAUUGGUAAAUUAUUAUAGAACCACUUAUCUGAGGCUUUUAAAAGUGAUGUGUUACAGAGAUUUAGGGAACUGCAAGAUUGCAGAUAAAGAAUUUAUACUGUCAACUGUUCUAUACUUUACCUUCUGCUUUAAAUGCGGCCUUAUAUUUUGAAGUCAAACAUUUAUUUUCUCUCACUGCGUUCUGAAUUUCCUACCACAGUGCAUUUUGAGAAAUGAAUAUAACAGCAGUCUUCAUAGAUGCCAUAUUCAUGGCAACUCUGUCCCCCGCCAACACCACACCCUGGAAAAAAACCAACUUUCUAUUGUUGGAAUGAGGUAACAUUUUCAGGAAAAGGGAACCAUUUUCUCACAGGAUAUAGAACAAAUUCAACCUUUUAUUAAAUCAAAAUGGAUUCUCUAAUGUUUAUACAUAUCAUAUAGGAUUUCAUCUCUUUCAAUCUUGGUUCAAAGGCCCAGACAGUACCAUUCCCUAGUAUUUAGUCCAUUUGCUCAUAAAGCAGAAGAGAAAAGCUACUUUGUUCCGAAGGGUGUUAGAUUUAGGAUUCCAAGGUUAUUUCAAAUUAAUGCCUGGAACUAGACUAUAAAAUGCAGGAAAGAUUCUAAGUUGUUCAAAGAUGAAAUAUCUUAACUUUCACCAAAAACUCUGUCUUCUGGGUAUUUUUUGUUUUUCUGCCUUUCCAGAUUUAUUUUAAAUACAACAUUUUUGCUGUUUACAUUUUUAAAAGUUACAUUUCAAAAUUGUUCAUAAUUGGACACUUUCAUAAAAUGUAGGCAAAUGCAGUUUUACUUUUUAAUGAAGGACAAGUCUGUUGAUAACAUUUUGAUUCUUAAAAUUUUUUUUAUCUUAUAAAAAUGAAACAAUGCAUUUAAAGUGUCUUCAGCUCUUAUGUUAAUACCAAAUUAUACAUUUUCUUAGCCCAUGUUCAGGAGAGACAAUAUAUCUUCCAAAUUAAGAGAAGCUGGCACCAUUUUUAAAACAAGGCCUUGAAUCUGCUGUGGUAUGUGCUGGUAGGAAUUUUGUAUGAAGCUGUUAUUGAAGUAGAUGACAUUAAGGUCAAAGGAAAAAAAAAACAGAAAAUAAUGUAAUCCUACAGAGCUGCUCUUAAGAUCUUGAGAGAAAAACCACGUAGGUAACAUCAAACACUAGUUGGAAUCUUUCCAAGAAGUAAUUAUCUGUGUGCUGUUUGUGGUGGUUGAUUAUGGGAACAAACCAAGGUUUAGCCAAUUCAGCAAACAUUUAUGGAGUGCCUGCAAUGUGCAUGUCACUGUUUUAAGGCCUGUGCCUACUGUAAAGGUGACCCACACAUGAUGCCUGCCUUGCAGGACUUGGAGUUCAGCGAUAAUAAGAGAUGCAUACCUGAAAAGCCUAUUUAAGACUCUUCCGGUUCUACAAAGAAGGCUUCUUGAAAGUGGUAGCUUUGAUUACUCUUUGGAUUUAUUUACAUUUAUCCUAUAAUCAGAAGGUAUACAAAACAGACUCACACAUAUAUAAAAUUAAUAGAUUAGAUAGCAUUUAAACAAAUAUUUCAGGUAGGUACUUCAAAUGCAUUUGACAUUUAUCAAAGAAAUGGUAAGUGCUGUCAUCCGUGGGUGGCUGGAUUAACAUGUGGGACUACUUAUCACCAAUUUUGUUAGGGAUCUUAGGGAAAUUCCUGGAUCUUAUAUUCACAAGCAAUUGUAUAAAUACUUCCCACAGCUCAGAGACCUAAUAGGAUGGGGUCUUAGAGAAACAUCUUUUGAGCCACAGACUUCUUUGUUACCAGAAGGAAAAUGAAAGAAGAAAUUUAAAUACCACUUGAAGAGAGCUGAUCGCCACCAACUGGCCUCUGGGUGGAUUUGGCCAAUGGAAGCACCUGUAGAGGGAAGAGAGUGAGGUUAGGAUAUUUCUUCCUGCUGUCUCCGUGCUUCCCUGCAGAGAGUGUGAAGAAAUGACCCUGAAAAGCCUCUGGCAGAGGAUUCUUCUUUCAGGAUGGUGUCGCCUCCUCAGCAGCCCAUCCUCCUCCCCUGGACUCAAGCUCUCAUUCCAGUAACACUCCUUCCUCCUUCUCCAUCUUCAGGGGGAGGUUUGCCAGUCGGUGCUGCCCAGUUCAUGAGUGCUGCUGCUGUCCUGCCCAAGUACCCAGCUUGCAGAGUGCCAGAGUUAGAGUCCCAGGGGUGUUCUCCACAGCUGCAUGCUUGAUCCAGGCCUAUCAGAUAUAUUCCAUUGAAAGUCCUCAUUCUCAAAUUUAAAACAAAGACUUUUUGUGUACCUCAAUAGCAAUGCACACACAGUUGGCUUCACAAACAUAUUGUACAUUUCUUUUUUUCAUAUUUAUUCAACAAAUGUAUAUUGACUACCCACCGUGUGACAGGUGUUAUUUGUUGACGGAACCAGGCAUCAUCAGCAAACAAAACUGACAAAGCUUCCUGCCCUCUGUGGAAGGCAUCUGAGGAAGAGACUGGAUUUUGUAGCAACAUGUUAUUCUCAUUAUAAACUUUAUCAUUGGAAUACUAAAGCCAAAUCAUCCCCCAUCUCCUUGAUCAGGAUACCCACUUAAUCUAGGCAGCUACACAAUUGUGAGAGCCUUUGUUUUUUUCUGCUGAAACAUCCUUAAAAAGAUACCUCACAACCCAAGAUUUGGCUUUUCUUAAAUACGAUUUUUAAUUUUUUUCAUUUCUAUCUAGAGAUUUAAUUGGAAAUGGAAAAUCAUCAAUUUUCCAAUUAAAUGUCUGUUCCAAUCAACAUUAUACCUUUUAGGUUGUCAUUGUCAUUUUUAAGUUUAAGCAACUUUAAGGAUUUUGAAUCUGGCUGCCUGUAAAUUAAAGGUGAAAGUAAUCA